rnacentral:lncRNA from 1 species
AGAUAUUCAAAAGACAAAUUGACAUGGUGCUCGGGAAUAUGGUUUAGUGUGUAUGUUUUGUUUGCUUAUUUCUUUUUUUUUUUUUUUUAUGGUUGGACUAGAUGAUCUUAAAGGUCCCUUCCAACCUAGGCGGCCCCACUUUUCUUUACACCAGAAAUCUCCCUUCAUCUGCAGCAUUUUGUUCAUUCUGUGAUUUCUAUGUCACACACAUUAGCUGUGUUCUUCAUACAGCUGUGCCUUGGGACUAGCCAUGAACUUUAGCUGCUAUGACUACCAUUGACUGCUGAGUGUUUUCCCCUGUAAACUUUUUGUGCUGUGCAGUCUCUGCUGGCUUCUGGAUUGUCAGAUGGAAUAUGAUGCAUGAUGUCCUAAAUGGGUUGAUUCCUGGUUACCUGAAGGAGAGAGACUGAUACUGCUGCUUGCAAGACUGUUGGAGGUAUCUGGGCUAAUAGACUCUUCAGUCACAAGAUGGUUGCCACAGAAGGAUCCAGGACUUUUCUUGAAAAUUAGUUUCCCCCAUCAGAUGAACUAAUUCCUGAAUCUCUGAAUGAACUGGGCAAAAUACUAAUGAUCUGGAGCCAAAACAAGAAGUUUCCAAAAAAGGACACAAGGACACAACAUAAAUAAUGACAGAAGAAAGUGAGGCUGAGAAGUUACUUGUCCUUAUGGCCCAGACAACUAUCAGCAGAGCCAGACCCAGAGUCCAGCUCCUAGACCUAGAUCUUAGCUUGUUGGACUGCGGGGCCACUGGAUGCCAACAGAUACCAUGCGGUCAUCUGGCAGGUUGAAUAAGGAAGGCUUUCCUGUCCCCUUCAAAGGAAACAAGUUUAAAACCAUGGGGGCAGGGGAUGGCACCAUGCUCAGCACAGCCCAGAUUCAGCAGGAAUGAGAUGCAGCCAGCAUCAGCAAGACAAAGGCAGAGAUAAUGAAAACGGGAACUAACCCAAAGAAUUAAGGGAGUCACACAGCAUCUGAUGAGAGCUGAAAGAAAAGCCCGGCUGGUGUUUCUGAGCUCUGUGUGGUCGCCUCCACUGCAAGUGACCCGCCCCAUCGCAGGAUGCCAGGAGGUGAGGAUGUGACAAGCAGGUCCCACCUCAGUAGGUCCCAUCACAGUCACAGCAUGAGGUGCUCCUGGCCAGCUACAGGAAGAGAAGCGAUAUUAAUGGAGUUUUGUCUUCCCCCUCUGGCACGGUUUUGCUGAGAGAUGGGAAAUGGAGGGAAGGAGUUAAUCUCUGUGCAGUCAGACCGUGCCUCCUCCCUGCUAUUUUCUCUCCCAC